GACGAACGCUGGCGGCGUGCUUAACACAUGCAAGUCGAGCGGAAAGGCCCUUCGGGGUACUCGAGCGGCGAACGGGUGAGUAACACGUGAGUAACCUGCACCAGACUUUGGGAUAACCCUCGGAAACGGGGGCUAAUACCGGAUACGACACAGCUUCGCAUGGGGUCUGUGUGGAAAGUUUUUCGGUUUGGGAUGGGCCCGCGGCCUAUCAGCUUGUUGGUGGGGUGAUGGCCUACCAAGGCGACGACGGGUAGCCGGCCUGAGAGGGCGACCGGCCACACUGGGACUGAGACACGGCCCAGACUCCUACGGGAGGCAGCAGUGGGGAAUAUUGCACAAUGGGCGGAAGCCUGAUGCAGCGACGCCGCGUGAGGGAUGACGGCCUUCGGGUUGUAAACCUCUUUCAGCAGGGACGAAGCGUAAGUGACGGUACCUGAAGAAGAAGCGCCGGCCAACUACGUG
rnacentral:rRNA from 1 species